rnacentral:rRNA from 1 species
UACAGAGGUCUCAAGCGUUGUUCGGAUUCAUUGGGCGUAAAGGGUGUGUAGGUGGCGCCGUAAGUCGGGUGUGAAAUUUCGAGGCUUAACCUCGAAACUGCAUUCGAUACUGCGGUGCUUGAGGACUGGAGAGGAGACUGGAAUUCAUGGUGUAGCAGUGAAAUGCGCAGAUAUCAUGAGGAAGACCAGUGGCGAAAGCGGCGCGCUGGACCACUACUGACGCUGAGGAACGAAAGCUAGGGGAGCAAACAGG